rnacentral:rRNA from 1 species
UUCCGAUCAUGGCUCAGAUUAAUGCUGGCGGGAUGCUUUACACAUGCAAGUCGAACGGCAGCACGGACGGUCUGGUGGCGAGUGGCGAACGGGUGAGUAAUGUAUCGAACGUGCCUAGUAGCGGGGGAUAACUACGCGAAAGCGUAGCUAAUACCGUAUACUGCCCUUCGGGGGAAAGCGGGGGACCUUCGCAUUCCCGCACUAUUAGAGCGGCCGAUAUCGGAUUAGCUUACAGGGUAACGGCUCACCACAAGGACGAUCCAGGUAGCUGGUUUGAGAGGACGACCAGCCACACUUGGGACUGAGACACGGCCCCAGACUCUACGGGAGGCAGCAGUGGGGAAUUUUGGACAAUGGGGGGGAAACCCUGAUCCAGCCAUCCCGCGUGUGAUGAAGGCCUCGGGUUGUGGUGCUACUUUUGGCAGGAAAGAAACGGCACGGGAUAGUUGUCACCGUGCAACUGACGGUACCCGCAGAAUAAGCACCGGCUAACUACGUGCCAGCAGCCGCGGUAAUACGUAGGGUGCGUUAAUCGGAAUUACUGGGCGCAAGCGUGCGCAGGCGGUUCGGAAAGAAAGAUGUGAAAUCCCAGAGCUUAACUUUUGAACUGCAUUUUUAACUACCGAGCUAGAGGCCGAGGAGGUGGAAUUCCGCGUGUAGCAGUGAAAUGCGUAGAUUAUGCGGAGGAACACCGAUGGCGAAGGCAGCCUCCUGGGAUAACACUCGACGCUCAUGCACCGAAAGCGUGGGGAGCAAACAGGAUUAGAUACCCUGGUAGUCCACGCCCUAAACGAUGUCAACUAGCUGUUGGGGCCUUCGGCCUGUAGCGCAGCUAAUCGCGUGAAGUUGACCGCCUGUGGGAGGCCGGUCGCAAGAUUAAACUCAAAGGAAUUGACGGGGACCCGCACAAGCAGGAUGAUGAUUGAAUCUGAUGCAACGCGAAAACCUUACCUACCCUUGACAUGUUCAAAUCCUGAAGAGAUUUGGGAGUGCUCGCAAGAGAACCGGAACACAGGUACAUGGCUGUCGCCAGUUUGUGUGUCGCAGGAUGUCAGUUAAGUCCCGCAACGAGCGCAACCCUUGUCAUUAGUUGCUACGAAAGGCACUUCCAUCGAGACCGCCGGUGAGCAAACCGAGAAGGUGUGGAUGACGUCAAGUCCUCAUGGCCCUUAUGGGUAGGGCUUCACACGUCAUACAAUGGUUUCUGGGACAGAGGGUCGCCAACCUGCCAGUAGGGAGCCAAUCCCAGAAACCCCGAUCGUAGUCCGACUGCAGUCUGCAACUCGACCGCGUGAAGUCGGAAUCAUAGGUAAUCGUGGAUCAGCAUGUCGCGGAAUACGUUCCCGGGUCUUGUACACACCUGCCCGUCACACCAUGGGAGUGUGGGUUUUUACCAGAAGUAGUUAGCCUAACCGUAAGGAGGGCGAUUACCACGGUAGGAUUCAUGACUGGGGUGAAGUCGUAACAAGGUAG